ACUCCUACGGGAGGCAGCAGUGGGAAUAUUGCGCAAUGGGGGAAACCCUGACGCAGCAACGCCGCGUGAGUGAAGAAGGCCUUAGGGUUGUAAAGCUCUGUCAUAUGGGAAGAUAAUGACGGUACCAUAAGAGGAAGCCACGGCUAACUACGUGCCAGCAGCCGCGGUAAUACGUAGGUGGCGAGCGUUGUCCGGAUUUACUGGGCGUAAAGGAUGCGUAGGCGGAUAUUUAAGUGGGAUGUGAAAUACCCGAGCUCAACUCGGGUGCUGCAUUCCAAACUGGAUAUCUAGAGUGUCGGAGAGGAAAGCGGAAUUCCUAGUGUAGCGGUGAAAUGCGUAGAGAUUAGGAAGAACACCAGUGGCGAAGGCGGCUUUCUGGACGAUAACUGACGCUGAGGCAUGAAAGCGUGGGGAGCAAACAGGAUUAGAUACCCUGGUAGGCUCUGC
rnacentral:rRNA from 1 species